AUGCACUUUGUAAUUAAGACGUCUGAUUAUUUUCCACGUUCAAUGCCAACAGAAUAUGGGGCUGGAAACAUGGUGUCAACAAACGGAGACAUUUACAGUUACGGGAUUCUUGUUCUAGAAACUGUAACUGGGAAGAGGCCCACGGACAGUAUAUCCAGACAAGGGCUGAGGCUUCGUGAAUACGUUGAGCAAGCUCUGGAUCAUAGCAUGAUGGAUGUUAUCGACAAGCGACUCGAAGAUGAGCUCCAGACCGCGGAUGAAUUUUCAAGGAAGAAAAAGAUGCACUGUUUGACAUAG
rnacentral:rRNA from 1 species